UGGGGAAUCUUGGACAAUGGGGGCAACCCUGAUCCAGCCAUGCCGCGUGAGUGAUGAAGGCCUUAGGGUCGUAAAGCUCUUUCGCCUGUGAAGAUAAUGACGGUAGCAGGUAAAGAAACCCCGGCUAACUCCGUGCCAGCAGCCGCGGUAAUACGGAGGGGGCAAGCGUUAUUCGGAUUUACUGGGCGUAAAGGGCGUGUAGGCGGCUUGAUAGGUCAAAGGUGAAAGCCCUCGGCUCAACCGAGGAACUGCCUUUGAAACCAUCUGGCUCGAGGCCGGGAGGGGGUAGUGGAAUUCCUGGUGUAGCGGUGAAAUGCGUAGAUAUCAGGAGGAACACCGGUGGCGAAGGCGGCUACCUGGACCGGUUCUGACGCUGAGGCGCGAAAGCGUGGGGAGCAAACAGGAUUAGAUACCCUGGUAGUCCACACCGUAAACGAUGAAUGCCAGUCGUCGGGUAGCAUGCUAUUCGGUGACACACCUAACGGAUUAAGCAUUCCGCCUGGGGAGUACGGUCGCAGAUUAAAACUCAAAGGAAUUGAC
rnacentral:rRNA from 1 species